CUCGUUGGGACGAGGUCAACGAGGGUGGACCGACAAAACACAAUCGAUAAACUCCGAUGUCUCUGUCAAUGUCUCCUCGCGUUUCCUCUGUUUCGGUUCUGUCACCACCGUUCAGAGACAUCCACGUUCUCUUCUGAUUCUUACAUUCUUUCUUGGUCCUCUUCCUCCUAAUCUCACCUGAACAAAGAACAUGGUCAUUAUGGUGAUGGUCGGAUUGGGACUAUUGGACUUCCUCGUUGCCGGGGUUUCAUUAAUCAUUGGUUUGGCCUUCAUUACCUUCAUUGCUUCCAUUCUCUGCGCCACAGCGUUCUUCAACAACGCCAAGGAUGUCGUCUCCUGAGUGCUGAAUCCUCAAUUCGAUGAUUAGAAAACAGCCAUAUCACGAGUUCUACCCAACCCUAUGAACUAAUAGGAGGAAACUCUGGGCUAUAUGAACUACUGCUGCUGGCACAAACUCAACAAAUUUAUGAUGUAUUUAAUUUCGAAGUAGGGUAGAGAAUUUUGAGUUUCACCAUGUUGGAACUAUAGACCUCUAAUGUUUGUGCUCUAAAGUUUUUGAUAAUUAUGUAAUUUUAAAGAUGGAAUGAACUCACUGACAACAUUUUUAAGUGUGCAGAGUCAGACAAUGUUCAUAAUAAUUAAGGAUAUUCUGAAGUUUUUGACAAAGAUAUCCCAUCAUGAUCGAAUGAAAAAUGUUUGAAGCAUUA